rnacentral:tRNA from 3 species
GGGAGCUUAGCUCAGCUGGUUCAGAGCACCUGCCUUACAAGCAGGGGGUCACUGGUUCGAACCCAGUAGUUCCCACCA